rnacentral:rRNA from 1 species
AACGAACGCUGGCGGCAUGCCUAACACAUGCAAGUCGAACGAGACCUUCGGGUCUAGUGGCGCACGGGUGCGUAACGCGUGGUAACCUGCCCUUAGGUUCGGAAUAACUCCCCGAAAGGGGUGCUAAUACCGGAUAAUGUCUUCGGACCAAAGAUUUAUCGCCUUUGGAUGGGCCCGCGUUGGAUUAGCUAGUUGGUAGGGUAAAAGCCUACCAAGGAGACGAUCCAUAGCUGGUCUGAGAGGAUGAUCAGCCACACUGGGACUGAGACACGGCCCAGACUCCUACGGGAGGCAGCAGUGGGGAAUAUUGGACAAUGGGCGAAAGCCUGAUCCAGCAGUGCCGCGUGAGUGAUGAAGGCCUUAGGGUUGUAAAGCUCUUUUACCCGGGAUGAUAAUGACAGUACCGGGAGAAUAAGCUCCGGCUAACUCCGUG